CAGAGGUCUUGACAUCCUUUGAAAACUCUAGAGAUAGAGCCUUCCCCUUCGGGGGACAAAGUGACAGGUGGUGCAUGGUUGUCGUCAGCUCGUGUCGUGAGAUGUUGGGUUAAGUCCCGCAACGAGCGCAACCCUUAAGCUUAGUUGCCAUCAUUAAGUUGGGCACUCUAGGUUGACUGCCGGUGACAAACCGGAGGAAGGUGGGGAUGACGUCAAAUCAUCAUGCCCCUUAUGAUUUGGGCUACACACGUGCUACAAUGGACAAUACAAAGGGCAGCUAAACCGCGAGGUCAUGCAAAUCCCAUAAAGUUGUUCUCAGUUCGGAUUGUAGUCUGCAACUCGACUACAUGAAGCUGGAAUCGCUAGUAAUCGUAGAUCAGCAUGCUACGGUGAAUACGUUCCCGGGUCUUGUACACACCGAGGG
rnacentral:rRNA from 1 species